UACGAAGGGGGCUAGCGUUGUUCGGAAUUACUGGGCGUAAAGCGUGCGCAGGCGGUUCGUUGUGUCGGCGGUGAAAGCCCCGGGCUCAACCUGGGAAUGGCCGUUGAAACUGGCGAACUGGAGUGUGGCAGGAGGGGGGUGGAAUUCCGCGUGUAGCAGUGAAAUGCGUAGAGAUGCGGAGGAACACCGAUGGCGAAGGCAGCCCCCUGGGCUGACACUGACGCUCAGGCACGAAAGCGUGGGGAGCAAACAGG
rnacentral:rRNA from 1 species